AUUGAACGCUGGCGGCAGGCCUAACACAUGCAAGUCGAGCGAGCGGCGGACGGGUGAGUAAUGUCUGGGAAACUGCCUGAUGGAGGGGGAUAACUCCUGGAAACGGUAGCUAAUACCGCAUACCAUCAGAUGUGCCCAGAUGGGAUUAGCUGGUUGGUGGGGUAACGGCGCACCUAGGCGACGAUCCCUCUCUGGUCUGAGAGGAGGACCAGCCACACUGGAACUGAGACACGUGCCAGACUCCUACGUGAGGCAGCAGUGGGGAAUAUUGCACAAUGGGCGCAAGCCGGAUGCAGCCAUGCCGCGUGUGGGAAGAAGGCCUUCGGGUUGUAAAGCACUUUCAGCGGGGAGGCGUUACCCGCAGAAGAAGCACCGGCUAACUCCGUGCCAGCAGCCGCGGUAAUAC
rnacentral:rRNA from 1 species